rnacentral:lncRNA from 1 species
GUGCAAGUGUGAGUUAUAUGUCCCACAUCGGAUAAAAUAGUAAAGGUUGAACACCUUAUAAGUAAGAUGAUCGAUAAACCCAUUGCCUUAAGGUUUUGGGGUAAGAGUGUGGUGUCUCUCUUGCUUGUGCGGUUGAUCUAGCCUCGAUGUGCGUGGUCCCCGUGGACUCACACUUGAGGGGAGUGUUGUUGUGUGCAAGUGUGAGUUAUAUGUCCCACAUCGGAUAAAAUAGUAAAGGUUGAACACCUUAUAAGUAAGAGGAUCCAUAAACCCAUUGCCUUA